rnacentral:lncRNA from 1 species
ACCACCACCUCUUUCGCAUCUGAAAUCUUAGCCUCGUGAAACCUCCUCAUCAGUCCCGGUAGCACGUGGGAGUUCUGGGGAUGGAAGUUGUCGAAAGGACCGUACAGGUUAGUCGGCAUGGCGGAGAUGACAUCCCAUCCGUACUGAAUCUUAUAAGCCUGGCACAUCUUGAUUCCAGAGAUCUUGGCGAUGGCGUACCACUCGUUUGUAGGUUCCAAAGGGCUGGUGAGAAGCGCGGACUCUGGAAUCGGCUGUGGUGCGUGUUUGGGGUAAAUACAGGAAGAUCCUAGGAAGAUGAGUUUCUUAGUAGAUCCGCAUCUGUAUGCG